UAAGAACAGAGGAUUUCAGGAAUAGAAGCAACGAAAACUCUAGAGACCAACUAUCGGAACGUGGGGAUUACAUUGGGAUCAAGAGGAAUGACUAGCCAGUUUCUUCACAGAGAUGGAAGCAAGUCAUCUUCACUCUAGUUCUGAAGGUUCCGAGGUGGCUGACAAGGCCAAUGCAGGAUCUGCAGAUGGCCACAAUGUGGGCAAGAUGGUGCUUGAUGCAUGGGUGGGCGAGUGGCACAGCAGGUAUGGUCCUGCAGCACCAGAUAAAGGAAGAAGAUAAAGAACAAAAAGAAAUUACAUCAACUCAGAUAAUAUUAAAAUGAGGAAACCACAAUGGCAAAAUUUGCUGACACCAAUCAUUUUAAACACAUCUCUCACAAAACUCCCUUUAUUUCACAACUUAAUCUCCUUGCCAAAAGCAAAUGUCUCUUUCCCAGUUCUGGCAAAGGGUCUCUGACCUGAAACAUUAUCUGUGUCUCUUUCCACAGAUGCAUCUGACCUGCUGAGUACCAUCAUUUAGAGUUUCUCUGAUUUUCAUUAAGUUUUGUAGGUCAAGUGCUGGAGAUUUAUGCACUUCAAAUUGAAAGUGGUUACAGAGAUAAUAGACUUCAUGCAGAGGGCCAUUAGAAUUGCCCGAACAAGGAGUACUGUUGAAAUCAACAUUGCUUCAGGUAAAUAGUUGCUGUUUCUGAAGAAAUCAGGAAACUGAUGGUAUAGGAGUUGCCACAAUGCAUCUUAUUAUUGUCAUUUGAAAAUAUACUUAAAUAGGCAAUAAAAUGUAAACUGUAUCUUCACUUGAUCUCCCAAAAUCAUGAGCUACUAAUGCUGGACACUAAUGCCCCGAGAAAGUACUUUGGAGCAAAUGUAGCCACAGCUUUGACACUUUCUUUGCAAGUAAACAGUCCUGUCUUUUGUUGUUCAAUGCAUCUUGUCAAUUGUUAAUGGCAUUUUUUUCUAUAAUCAGUGAUGCCAUGCUGGAAGUGGGAACUACUUUUUACUUACCAAGCCUACAACAACUCCAUAUCACUUCAAAUGCCAAAUAGUAUUCUUCAUCGGAGUCAAAGAUAUUUUCAACAUUUGCCACCAAGAUAUUUUAUAGCAUGGUGUGAGGAAAUACUUAAUAACAAUGUUAUUAAAGAGUAAACAGGUGAAUGCAGAAAGAGCAAUGUUCAGUUUUAAUUAAAUCUCCAAUAAAUUAUGGAAAUUCUCUGCAGAUUUCUACUUAUUUUAGGAGAUGAGUAAUU